CCUGGCUCAGGACGAACGCUGGCGGCGUGCCUAAUACAUGCAAGUCGAGCGAAUCGAUGGGAGCUUGCUCCCUGAGAUUAGCGGCGGACGGGUGAGUAACACGUGGGCAACCUGCCUAUAAGACUGGGAUAACUUCGGGAAACCGGAGCUAAUACCGGAUACGUUCUUUUCUCGCAUGAGAGAAGAUGGAAAGACGGUUUACGCUGUCACUUAUAGAUGGGCCCGCGGCGCAUUAGCUAGUUGGUGAGGUAAUGGCUCACCAAGGCGACGAUGCGUAGCCGACCUGAGAGGGUGAUCGGCCACACUGGGACUGAGACACGGCCCAGACUCCUACGGGUGGCAGCAGUAGGGAAUCUUCCGCAAUGGGCGAAAGCCUGACGGAGCAACGCCGCGUGAGUGAUGAAGGUUUUCGGAUCGUAAAGCUCUGUUGCCAAGGAAGAACGUCUUCUAGAGUAACUGCUAGGAGAGUGACGGUACUUGAGAAGAAAGCCCCGGCUAACUACGUGCCAGCAGCCGCGGUAAUACGUAGGGGGCAAGCGUUGUCCGGAAUUAUUGGGCGUAAAGCGCGCGCAGGCGGUUCUUUAAGUCUGGUGUUUAAA
rnacentral:rRNA from 1 species